GCUCUAAUAGCGUAUAUUAAAGUUGUUGCAGUUAAAAAGCUCGUAGUCGGAUGUCGGGCUCGGGCAAGCUGUCGGCCUUUGGUCGGACGGCAGGCUCGGGUCUUUCUGCCUGAGGAACCGCUUGCUUUAACCGGCUGGCGGUGGACGCAGGUCGUUUACUUUGAAAAAAUUAGAGUGUUCAAAGCAGGCUAGCGCUUGAA
rnacentral:rRNA from 1 species